UGCUUUGAAAACCGUCCCGUCCGCGCUUAUAUUGGUUCUGCCGGGCAACCGGCUAUGGCGAUAAACUGUCAUCGUAAUAAACCAUUCGGACCCGGGGGCGGUACCCGGCGCCUCCACCAUAAGCCGUUGCAACCCAGUACGCUUGGGACGGUUUUUGUGGGGGCGAAAUAGGAUCGACGAGGGUGUAAAGGGUGUGCUUUCGCUCGGCAUGGUACCGCCGUUAUCGGACCAAUUUGUAGUUGCAAACGACAACUAUGCUCCGGUUGCACAGGCUGCGUAACGCAGUUUGUAAUGCCGACUUAAACUCCCACUAGGUUAGCCCCUGGUGGUCGGGGUCCGCAGGCACCUGGCAACAGAAGCCUGCACU
rnacentral:tmRNA from 1 species